rnacentral:rRNA from 1 species
UGGGGAAUAUUGGACAAUGGGCGCAAGCCUGAUCCAGCCAUGCCGCGUGAGUGAUGAAGGCCCUAGGGUUGUAAAGCUCUUUCACCGGUGAAGAUAAUGACGGUAACCGGAGAAGAAGCCCCGGCUAACUUCGUGCCAGCAGCCGCGGUAAUACGAAGGGGGCUAGCGUUGUUCGGAUUUACUGGGCGUAAAGCGCACGUAGGCGGACUUUUAAGUCAGGGGUGAAAUCCCGGGGCUCAACCCCGGAACUGCCUUUGAUACUGGAAGUCUUGAGUAUGGUAGAGGUGAGUGGUAUUCCGAGUGUAGAGGUGAAAUUCGUAGAUAUUCGGAGGAACACCAGUGGCGAAGGCGGCUCACUGGACCAUUACUGACGCUGAGGUGCGAAAGCGUGGGGAGCAAACAGG